rnacentral:tRNA from 9 species
GGGGUAUUGGCAUAGCGGCAAGUGCAUCGGACUUUUAAUCCGACUUAGACAGGUUCGACUCCUGUAUACCCCACCA